rnacentral:rRNA from 1 species
AUGUGGGAUGAUAUCUUGAAGGAUGAUGGGGUCAAAUGGAAUAGCUUUUGUGCACCUUUAGAAAAUGAUGCUGAAGGAAGUAGGAUUUUGGUCACCACUAGAUCUCCCGAGGUUUCUAAGCUAGUUGGCCCUAUGAAUAAUUAUGAAUUAAAGGGCUCACAGGAUGAGGUAUUCUGGCAUUUCUUCAAAUAUUGUACAUUUGGUUCCACGAGUUCUUGCAACAACCGGGAGUCAUUGGAGUGCAUUGGUGAAAAAAUUGUUCCAAAGUUGAAGGAUUCUCUUUGUUGGCUGCCAGGACUAUUCGACGCUUGUUGGGAGUGGAGCUAA